AGGACGUAAGGCGUGGACGUGCGUGACGUCACCCUCUGGCCUGCGAGAUGGCGAGGGCAAGUAGCGGGGCCGAUGCUCCCUUGGGAUCCGGGUGUGGCUCGGCUCAGUGAAUGGAUGAACUGGGAGAUGUCUGACUCGACUUAGAAUUUCUGAAGCAUGCACACUAUGGCUAAGUUUCAGACUGAAAAGCCAGAAAAAACAGGUAGAAGUUACAAGAAAGAAAAAGUCUUUUUAGAAACACCACAAAGAAAAUGAUCAACAAUCAAGAACAGACAAAAGCAGAAUGGAUUGGCUGUGUGGAAGGUUUUUGUUUUAUGAGUGUGUGUAUAUGCAUGACUGUAUGUAUGGUACACGUGUGUGCAGUUGCCCUAGGAGGCCAGGAGAGGGCACUGCAUCUUCAGGAACUGGAAUUACUGGUGGUUGCAAGCUGCCUAAUGUAGGAUAUGGGAGCCAGACUCACAUCUUGAGAACCAAACUUGUGUCCGUAGGAAGAACAGCAAGUGCUCUUAACAGAUGAAGUAUCUUUCCAGCCCUACUUUGGAAGUGUUUAAACUGAGAUAAGGUGGCUUUCUGUCUUAAUUCCCUAAGAAUAAAGAAAAAAGUUUGUUGUAUGUGUUUCUACGCAGAUUGUGAAGCCAGAAGUUGACAUUAAACAUCUUCCUUGACCGCA
rnacentral:lncRNA from 1 species